rnacentral:rRNA from 1 species
CAGUAGCCGCGGUAAUACGAAGGGGGCUAGCGUUGUUCGGAUUUACUGGGCGUAAAGGGCGCGUAGGCGGGCUGAUCAGUCAGGGGUGAAAUCCCAAGGCUCAACCUUGGAACUGCCUUUGAUACUGUCGGUCUUGAGUUCGAGAGAGGUAAGUGGAACUGCGAGUGUAGAGGUGAAAUUCGUAGAUAUUCACAAGAACACCAGUGGCGAAGGCGGCUUACUGGCUCGAAACUGACGCUGAGGCGCGAAAGCGUGGGGAGCGAACAGGAUUAGAUACCCCGGUAGUCCCUGUCUCUUAUAC